GAGGAGGGAUGGGGAGGGAGGUGGGGAUGGGGAUACGGGGAUGUGGGGAGAAGUGGGGAGAGGUGGAAAGAGAUGGAGGGAUGGGGGGGUGGAGAGGGAUGGGGAGAUGGAGGGAUGGGGAGAGAUGGAGAGGGAUGGAAAGAGAUGGAGAGAUGGAGGGAUGGAGAGAUGGGAGAGAUGGAGAGAAGGAGGGACGGAGGAAUGGAGAGGGAUGGAGAGAUGGAGGGAUGUGGAGAGAUGGAAAGGGAUGGAGAAAUGAAAGGGAUGGAAAGAGAUGGAGAGAUGGGGAGAGAUGGAGGGAUGGAGAGGGAUGGAGAGAUGGGGAGAUGGAGAAGUGGAGACGUGGAUGGACAGAGCUGGAGAGGUGUAGAGAUGGAGAGAGAUAGGGAGAGGGAUGGAGAGAUGGGGACAUGGAGAGGUGGAGACGUGGAUGGACAGAGGUGGAGAGACGGAGAGGUGGGGCUGUGGAGAGAUGGAUGCAGAGCUGGAGAGGUGGAGAGAUGGAGACACGAAGAGGUGGAGAGGUGGAAAGAUGGAGAGGCGGAGAGAGAUGGAGACAUGGAGAGAUGGAAGUGGAGACAGAUGGACAAAGAUGGAAAGGUGGAGAGACGGAGACGUGGAGGUGAAAUGGGGAGACAUGGAGAUCCAUGGACGUGGAUAUGGGGAGAGAUGGAGACAGAGAGACGUGGGAGAUGGAGAGGUGAAGAAAUGGAGGGGCGGACAGGUCGAGAGAUGGAGGGAUGGGUAAAAAGGGGACAAAGACGUGGAGAGAUGGAGAGAUGGACGGACAGAGGUGGAGAGGUUGAGAUGGAGAGAGAUGGAGAGGCAGAGAUGGAGAGAUGGAUGGGCAAAGAUGGAGAGGCUGAGAUGGAGAGAGGGAUGGACAGAGGUGGAGAGGCUGAGAUGGAGAGAUGGAGAAGUUGAGAUGGAGAGAUGGAUGGACAGAGGUGGAGAGGCUGAGAUGGGCAGAGAUGGAGAGGCUGAGAUGGAGAUGGAGAGGCUGAGAUGGAGAGAUGGAGAGGCUGAGAUGGAGAGAUGGAUGGGCAAAGAUGGAGAGGCUGAGAUGGAGAGGCUGAGAUGGAGAGGCUGAGAUGAAGAGAUGGAUGGACAGAGGUGGAGAGGCUGAGAUGGAGAGAUGGAUGGGCAGAGAUGGAGAGAUGGAUGGACGGAGAUGGAGAGGCUGAGAUGGAGAGAUGGAGAGGCUGAGAUGGAGAGGUGGAUGGGCAGAGAUGGAGAGAUGGAUGGACAGAGAUGGAGAGGCUGAGAUGGAGAGGCUGAGAUGGAGAGAUGGAUGGACAGAGGUGGAGAAGCUGAGAUGGAGAGAUGGAUGGGCACAGAUGGAGAGGCUGAGAUGGAGAGGCUGAGAUGGAGAUGGAGAGGCUGAGAUGGAGAGAUGGAUGGACAGAGAUGGAGAGGCUGAGAUGGAGAGGCUGAGAUGGAGAGAUGGAUGGACAGAGGUGGAGAGGCUGAGAUGGAGAGAUGGAUGGGCAGAGAUAGAGAG
ensembl:lncRNA